AGAGUUUGAUCCUGGCUCAGGAUGAACGCUAGCGGCAGGCUUAAUACAUGCAAGUCGAACGGUAAUUCCGAUACUUGUAUCGGGAACGAGUGGCGCACGGGUGCGUAACGCGUAUGCAACCUACCUUUAACCGGGGAAUAGCCCAGAGAAAUCUGAAUUAAUACCCCAUAAUAUGCUGAUAUCGCAUGAUAAUAGUAUUAAAGUUUCGGCGGUUAUAGAUGGGCAUGCGUGACAUUAGCUUGUUGGUGAGGUAAAGGCUCACCAAGGCAAAGAUGUCUAGGGGUUCUGAGAGGAUUAUUCCCACAGUGGUACUGAGACACGGACCAGACUCUUACGGGAGGCGCAGUAAGGAAUAUUGGGCAAUGGACGGAAGUCUGACCCAGCCAUGCCGCGUGCAGGAUGACUGCCUUAUGGGUUGUAAACUGCCUUUAUACGGGAAAA
rnacentral:rRNA from 1 species